rnacentral:rRNA from 1 species
AACGAACGCUGGCGGCAGGCUUAACACAUGCAAGUCGAACGCCCGAGCAAUCGGGAGUGGCAGACGGGUGAGUAACACGUGGGAACAUGCCCUUUGGUUCGGAACAACGCCGGGAAACUGGCGCUAAUACCGGAUACGCCCUGGCCGCGAGGUUGGGGGAAAGGCUCGCUGCCGAAGGAUUGGCCCGCGUUCGAUUAGCUGGAUGGCGGGGUAACGGCCCACCAUGGCGACGAUCGAUAGCUGGUCUGAGAGGAUGGCCAGCCACAUUGGGACUGAGACACGGCCCAAACUCCUACGGGAGGCAGCAGUGGGGAAUAUUGGACAAUGGGCGCAAGCCUGAUCCAGCCAUGCCGCGUGAGUGAUGACGGCCUUAGGGUUGUAAAGCUCUUUCGCCCGCGACGAUAAUGACGGUAGCGGGAGAAGAAGCCCCGGCUAACUUCGUGCCAGCCGCCGCCGUAAAAC